GACAGAGGUGCCGAGCGUUAGGCGGAAUCACUGGGCUUAAAGCGUGUGUAGGCGGGUCGUUAAGUGUCUUGUGAAAUCCCACCGCUCAACGGUGGAACUGCUGGGCAUACUGGCGAUCUUGAGCCACCUAGGGGCAGACGGAACAAGCGGUGGAGCGGUGAAAUGCGUAGAUAUCGCUUGGAACGCCGACGGUGAAAACAGUCUGCUGGGGGUGUGCUGACGCUGAGACACGAAAGCCAGGAGAGCGAACGGG
rnacentral:rRNA from 1 species